UACAGAGGGUGCGAGCGUUGUUCGGAUUUACUGGGCGUAAAGGGCGCGUAGGCGGCAUGACAAGUCACUUGUGAAAUCUCCGGGCUUAACUCGGAACGGUCAAGUGAUACUGUCGCGCUAGAGUGCGGAAGGGGCAAUCAGAAUUCUUGGUGUAGCGGUGAAAUGCGUAGAUAUCAAGAGGAAUACCUGAGGUGAAGACGGGUUGCUAGGCCGACACUGACGCUGAAGCGCGAAAGCCAGGGGAGCAAACGGG
rnacentral:rRNA from 1 species